GUAUGCAAAGAUACACCCUUGUAUUGCUGCCAUGUCGGUCUCGGCUCUCAUUGAGAGUAGGUACAUACUGACUGUGUUGAAACCCAGAUGUUCCGCCCUCUCAUAAUUAUUCCUUUUUUUACUCUGGAACUUUCGUCCCAAAGACCGAAACAUUUAUUUUUUGAGUUUCAUUUGAGUGAUACACAGCGAAAUAUAGAAUCAGAACAGAAUAUCUAAGAGAAACUCAUUAAUCUGUAAUCAGUGGAUUUUGAAGUGGACUCGACAUAUUUUGUAAAUUUGUGAAUAUUUUGACAUUAGCUUGUUGAACUACUUUUGAAGUAUAGUGUCUAGUUCUAGUUCCAGUGUGUGGUGCAUAUAUUUGAUAGUAACGAGAAACGGCCAUACACUCCAGUAAAGGGGACAGGAAGGAUAUAGAAGAGGCUAUUUCCAAAUGGCUUCGAGGAGCCAACGAUAUAGAAAAUCAUAAGUGUUAAUUCCUAUUCAGUGUAUAUACCUAUAUAUCUGCUUCUUUGUUAUUCAGUUUUUUUGUAGUUUAGUUUUUUUUCAUAGGGGUAGUAGUCCAAUCUUCAAAUUAUACUUACUUGUAAUUUAUUUUAUUUUAAUUUUUCACAUAAAGAUGUUGAACAUU